UUAAAGAGAAAUGGGAUAAUUUAACUCAGAAAAGCAGGCUAGAAAUGAGUCAAGCUAAUUUUUGGGAAUUCAUAAGAAAGAAUAAGUCUCCAUGUAUUCAUUUGGGAGUUGGGUGGCAGGCCCCCAAAAAGUAAUAAAAGCCAACUACAAUAUAUCACUUGGAGGUCUGUAACAAAGGGGCCUUUGAUGACACCUUUCCCCCACAGUCUGCCUAGCUCCCUCUAGCAGCAGUGAGCUAAGUGGAAGGGGCUUCCAGCCCCCCGUUCCAGCUCCUUUCUCCACAUCCUCAGAGCAAAGCACACAAAGUCUCUUUAGGAACAGUUUCGUCAGCAUGGAGAAGUUAACAACAGCGAAUGGGAAGAACAAUGACUAUUGUGCCUAGAAUACAGCAACAGCAAUACAGAUGUCAUCACUGCCAACCUUCCUCUCUAAAGACUAACAGUUUUCAACUUUGCUCAGAUCUGGUAUCACUGUGCAUUUUAGAGAAAGGAGGGGCAGUUUCAUUGUUCCUGGCCAUGAGGUGAACAGUUUGCUCUACACAUGUCAUCUGUCAUUGUGACCCCCACUAGAAGCCCAGUGGGCACAGGCACUUGAUCAUGGACAACAGCUUCGCAAACAGUGAGCUGAA